UCUUUGACUGCACUGCAGUUUAUAAGUUUUAUGAGGUUUAUAAGCCUUUGACACAUGGUCUAGAUGUGCCCAUAGGACUUGGCAGGAGAUUACUUAUUCUUCUGCAGUUCCAACCACAAGACAGAUAUCUGCCAGUUGCUCUCAAGGUGAAUGGUCGAGACUGGUGGAGUGCUUCUAUAAAUGGUAAAACUCCUAUAAAAGGUGCCAACCUGUGAUAAAUAGAGGGUACGUUACAUGGCUAACAGCGUGAAAGAGGAGAGGAGAACACAUUUUCAUGAAUAAACAUUCUGCCAGAUGGUAUAUCUUAUCUCCGUGGCAUGACAACCAAAAUUGAACAAGGUAUUUUACUUGUGGUCUG